rnacentral:rRNA from 1 species
AGUGAACGCUGGCGGUAGGCCUAACACAUGCAAGUCGAACGGCAGCACAGUAAGAGCUUGCUCUUACGGGUGGCGAGUGGCGGACGGGUGAGGAAUACAUCGGAAUCUACUUUUUCGUGGGGGAUAACGUAGGGAAACUUACGCUAAUACCGCAUACGACCUACGGGUGAAAGCAGGGGAUCUUCGGACCUUGCGCGAUUGAAUGAGCCGAUGUCGGAUUAGCUAGUUGGCGGGGUAAAGGCCCACCAAGGCGACGAGCCGUAGCUGGUCUGAGAGGAUGACAAGCCACACUGGAACUGAGACACGGUCCAGACUCCUACGGGAGGCAGCAGUGGGGAAUAUUGGACAAUGGGCGCAAGCCUGAUCCAGCCAUACCGCGUGGGUGAAGAAGGCCUUCGGGUUGUAAAGCCCUUUUGUUGGGAAAGAAAAGCAGCAGGUUAAUACCCCGCUGUUCUGACGGUACCCAAAGAAUAAGCACCGGCUAACUUCGUG